AUGUGGCUGGCUAGUACGUGCGUGGGUCGAGUCCCCUGUGUAUAUAUGUUGCACUUUGAGUUAAUGAAAGGAAAGGCCGUGAGGGCUAGAGCAGCAACAUGUAGCCACUGUAUUAAUCAAGGACGGAGCCUCUCGGCAAAGCUAGCGGAUGGUCUGUUCCUUGGUCUACCUGUGUGUGUAGUGUGCGUUCAGGUGUUCUUGAGAGAAACCAUAGAAAAAAGAAGAGAGAGUUGUGCGAGGCAGCUCGAGGUAGAAGAAGAAGAGCGGCGCUGCGAGGAGGCGGCGCCGACACCAUCCACGCAUAAAAUCUGGAGGGCAUCAUAUCCAUCUUUCAUAGCUACGGCCCAAUCAAGAUCUAGGAGAGCUGAUUUGUAA
rnacentral:rRNA from 1 species